rnacentral:rRNA from 1 species
AGAAUCAACGCUGGCGGCGUGCCUCAGACAUGCAAGUCGAACGAUUAAACUUUCCUUCGGGAAAGAUAUAAAGUGGCGCACGGGUGAGUAACACGUAAGUAAUCUACCUUCGAGUGGGGAAUAACAUCGGGAAACCGAUGCUAAUACCGCAUAAUGCAGCGGCAUCGCAAGAUGACAGUUGUUAAAGGAUUUAUUCGCUUGAAGAGGAGCUUGCGGCAGAUUAGCUUGUUGGUAAGGUAACGGCUUACCAAGGCUACGAUCUGUAACCGGUCUAAGAGGACGGUCGGUCACACUGACACUGAAUAACGGGUCAGACUCCUACGGGAGGCAGCAGUCGGAAUUUUGGGCAAUGGGCGAAAGCCUGACCCAGCAACGCCGCGUGAAGAUGAAGUAUUCGGUAUGUAAACUUCGAAAGAAUAGGAAGAAUCAAUGACGUACUAUUUAAUAAGGUCCGACUAACUACGUGCCUAGCAGCCGC